UAAAACUAAACUAAAUCAGACCCAAACCAAAAAUUCUGAACUGAAUUAGACUAUUUAUAAUGGCCUAUUGAAAAAAUUAAUUCAAUAGUUAAAUGCUUACAAUGGGAUAUUGAAUAAAGAAAUGAAUUCUAACUAGAUUUAAUGGUGUUGAACCGAUUCUGUUGAAUUGUUAACAAUGAAUCCCUCAUUGCCACUUGUCAUUAAAUAAUUGGAGACAGAAAUUGUGGAGAGAGUUAAAUAUAGAUAGGACAUGUGUUAUUCUUUUAUUUGUUACUGAAAUUUUUGAUAUA
rnacentral:sRNA from 1 species